AUCCCUUUCGGAGCUCCAGCCUGCCCCUCCUGACGCUCUCAGAGUCUGGCCUUCUGCUGGGCCCCGGGUCUCUCACUGGCAGAAUGGAGUUCUCGGAGCUGAUCCAUACGGGCUGAGCCCAAGCAGAGUUUCUACGGGGCCCGGAGGCGCCCCCGCUUCGCGGCACGGUGUGAGUCACCGUCCACCACCUGCUCCUGUCGCCAGGGCCCGCGUCCUCUCCGGACCUGUGGCUGCUGCUGUUGCGUAGCGUCGACUCCUUCGAGAAGCAGUGAGACGUGGCGGGGUGGGGGAGGGUCCCCGGGGUUGGGGAGCGCGCGGCUUGGCGGAGUAGGGGGCACGGCCAGCGCAGUCAGAGCUGGCGCCCUCCUGCGUAAGCCCAAUCCGGGAAACUCGUUGCCCCUCUCCUGGGAAAGGAACGUCCCUCCCCAGGGUUGCGAGUGACUCGGGCACCAUCACCCUGUGCUGUAAAGACCUGCGAGUGCUGCAGCUGGAAAUAGAGGGCGCGGAAGCGACGCUGGGCAUCGCCCGCUCCAUCGAGGUGUGCCGAGGGAGCUCCCGAGCCCUUUAAGCUCUCCCUGUCUCGCGUAGAGGGGAAUAAAAAGGUGCUUCUGUUCAAAGAGGCUCCGCAGCCGCAGCUAAAUGGCAGGGGGAUGCAGGGUGGUCCGGGGUACUUGGAGAGGCCGAAGCUGAAGCUACAGGACUGAGGGGCUGGAAAGGGCGCGGGCGAGACAAUUCCGACCCUCCCCAGAGCCCCUGACUUCCUUCUCCGGACGCUGUCCUCCCUGGAAUCAGUCAUCACCUCCUUCCCUUUAUUCUACCGUCCCAAGGGCCUGAGAUUGGGCGACUCCUGGCACUUCCUCCCGCCCGAACUCUACUGCAAGAGAGUAGCUCGCGAAGUGGGCGCGGUCGUAGGGGCCCGGGAAGGUGGAAGCGCCGGGCCUGGAAGAGGCGCGGGGACAGGGCACUCCCUGGGUGCCCUAGACCUGGCCUCUCUCCUCCCUGCGCUGCAGACCAACGCGUGGCGGCUGAGCGAGGUGAACGAGGACUUCAGCUUGUGCCCCAGAUACCCCCGUGCGGUGAUCGUGCCAUACUUGGUGGACGAUGAUGCCCUGGCGCGCAGCGCCCGCUUCCGUCAGGGAGGUCGCUUCCCGGUGCUCAGCUACCACCCGGCUCCCAGCGGCAGAGGGAGCGCGCCCUCCCCACGCUCCGCCCCUGGGUGGCUGCGUCCUUUCUGGGCCUUUUCUUUUUGGCCCGGUCAAUUCGCGGCGUAGCCGCUGCCCCAACUCCUGCCCCAUUCUGGUCCCGCCCCUCUCCCGCCUUUUCGCUGGGAAGGGUAUCACCUUUCUCUGGCCCCGCCCCUGACGGUUCCGGGCCCCGCGAAGCUUAGUCCCUUCUUUGUCAAGCCAGGACCCGCCCACGGUCUAUUCAUAGGGUCCCAAACCACUUUGGCCACAACACCCCCAGACUGGUCCGAAGCCUCGUGAGUUCGCCCUGGUCGUUGCACUCCAGCCUGUCGCUGUGCAGACCUGGCUUAGAGGACCCCUAAGGCUGAGGGGUCACUUCCAGAACUGAGUCCGGUCCGCAGGUUCUGCUACGCUCCAGCCAGCCCCUAACUGGUCCCCAGAAGCGGCGCUGCUACAGGGACCAGGAGCUGCUGCGAACUGCGCUGGCGGGGGCUCGUCCUUGGGCGCGGGGCUUCAUCAUGGACACGCUCUCGGCCCAGGCCGCGAAACAAGCCCGCGUGACUGGCGGAGGCACAGAGACCAAGGCCGCUUAACCUGGCUGGUUGCACUGGUCCCUGGAGAGCACUGAGCACAGGGGCUGCCACAGUGGCCGGCUCAGACAUGGCAGAGAUCAGCAGAGAAUGGGCAAUCAGGCUCCCCUGAGAUGAGCAGCAGCGCAGAGGAGGUGCCCCUCUCUUACUACACCAACUUCAGAGGGCGUCCCCUGCAGGAGAGCUUCAUGCGCCUGGUGGAGGCCUGUGGGGACUCGGAGCAAAGCAUGGACAACUGGCUGAGUCGGCUGGACGGCUGCCGCUGACUGUAACAUGUAAAGCAGGCACUGAGCACCACCUGCCUGGCAGUCCAGGGCAUGGAGAGGCACAGACAGCACCCUGCUUGUGACUUCACUGGCCCAACUCAUCCUGGACCCCUUGAGCAAGACCAUGGCUGGAUUCCAGGAACUGGUGGAGUGGAAGUGGAUCCAGGAAAAUGCCGUGUGAAGGGAGGACUCAGAUGCACUCCCUGUGGUCUGGGCUCAACCAGCCAAAAGAGCAACAAAGACUCCAGAACCCACUCUACCUCCUCAAUCCCUUGGCCAUCUGUGGAGCCCCAGAGCCUGCGGCUGUGGCAAGGCCUGUUUCUGCGCUGGACCUGCUCACCUGAGCCUGCAGAAGCUGCAUGGGGGAAGAGUGUGGCAAAUAGUGACAGGAAGGGAGAAGACAGAAGCCUCUCAGCCAACUGCUUCAGCCGAGCCCCUAUUCUAAGCACUGGCUCCUUGGAUAGCAGCUGAGAUGUUCCUGAAACCUCUGCAGGCCCCUUAGGACCUUUACACCUUGGAUGAGGGUGCCUGCAACCCAGGUUAGCCAAAAGUACUGAGGGUCUUAAGUUUGAAGUGUCCAAAGUAUAGGGAGGUCUCAAUAAUAAAAGUCUCCAUGAUCAGCAUCA
rnacentral:lncRNA from 1 species